rnacentral:rRNA from 1 species
AGUGGAUGGGGAGCAACCUAGUUGUGCGUGUGUAAAGGUAGUGCCAAGAAAAGCGAUGAUCAUGUUGAAAAUCAAUUCCCGGUACCCGAAACCGACACAGGUGGGCAAGUAGAGAAUACUAAGGGGCGCGAGGUAACUCUCUCCAAGGAACUCGGCAAAAUGACCCCGUAACUUAGGGAGAAGGGGUGCCACCGAGAGGUGGUCGCAGUGAAGAGGCCCAGGCGACUGUUUAGCAAAAACAUAGGUCUCUGCAAACUCGAAAGAGGAGGUAUAGGGGCUGACGCCUGCCCAGUGCCGGAAGGUUAAAGAAGUUGGUCAGUUUUAGGAUGAAGCUAGCGACUGAAGCCCCGGUGAACGGCGGCCGUAACUAUAACGGUCCUAAGGUAGCGAAAUUCCUUGUCGGGUAAGUUCCGACCCGCACGAAAGGCGUAACGAUCUGGGCGCUGUCUCGGAGAGAGGCUCGGCGAAAUAGGAUUGUCUGUGAAGAUACGGACUACCUGCAUUUGGACAGAAAGACCCUAUGAAGCUUUACUAUAGCUUGGAAUUGUGUUCGGGCUUCCUGUGCGCAGGAUAGGUGGGAGGCGUAGAAGGUAUUCUUGUGGGGAUACUGGAGCCAACGGUGAGAUACCACUCUCAGGAGGCUAGAAUUCUAACUUAAUUAAGGACAGUUUCAGGUGGGUAGUUUGACUGGGGCGGUCGCCUCCAAAAAGGUAACGGAGGCGUACAAAGGUUCCCUCAGACUGGUUGGAAAUCAGUCGAAGAGUGCAAAGGCAGAAGGGAGCUUGACUGCGAGAAGUACAGUUCGAGCAGGGUGGAAACACGGUCUUAGUGAUCCGACGGUGCUGUGUGGAAGGGCCGUCGCUCAACGGAUAAAAGUUACUCUAGGAUAACAGGCUGAUCUCCCCCAAGAGUUCACAUCGACGGGGAGGUUUGGCACCUCGAUGUCGGCUCAUCGCAACCUGGGGCGGAAGUACGUCCCAAAGGGUUGGGCUGUUCGCCCAUUAAAGCGGUACGUGAGCUGGGUUCAGAACGUCGUGAGACAGUUCGGUCCAUAUCCGAUGUAGGCGUGAGAAUAUUGAGAGGAGCCUUCCUUAGUACGAGAGGACCGGGAAGGACGCACCGCUGGUGUACCUGUUAUGAUGCCAAUUGUAAACGCAGGGUAGCCAAGUGCGGAGAGGAUAACCGCUGAAAGCAUCUAAGUGGGAAGCCCACCUCAAGAUGAGUAUUCUGGUGUAAGGUCACGGGAAGACGACCCGUAAAUAGGCACGAGGUGGAAGUGCAGAGAUGUAUGAAGCCGAAGUGUACUAAUAGACCGUCGGCU